UACGUAGGGGGCGAGCGUUGUCCGGAGUUACUGGGCGUAAAGGACAUGCAGGCGGUCCGACACGUUUUGUGUGACAGCGGGUGGCUUAACUACCCGAGGAUACGAAAGACGGUUGGACUUGAGGACUCGAGAGGGACACGGAAUUCCGGGUGGAGUGGUGAAAUGCGUAGAGAUCCGGAGGAACACCGAAGGCGAAGGCAGUGUCCUGGCGAGUGACUGACGCUGAGGUGCGAAAGCCAGGGGAGCAAACGGG
rnacentral:rRNA from 1 species